rnacentral:rRNA from 1 species
AGCAGCCGCGGUAAUUCCAGCCCCAAUAGCGUAUAUUAAAGUUGUUGCAGUUAAAAAGCUCGUAGUUGAAUUUCGGGGUCUGUCCGUCGGUCGGGCUUCACGGUCCGUACUGGUGUGAUGGGUUCCUACCUUCUGAAUAACCGGCAUGCCAUUCAGUUGGUGCGCCGGGGAAGCAGAGCUAUUACCUUGAAAAAAUUAGAGUGCUUAAAGCAGGCUAGUGCUUGAAUAGAUUAGCAUGGAAUAAUAAAAUAGGACGGCAUGGUUCUAUUUUGUUGGUUUCUAGGAUCACCGUAAUGAUUAAUAGGGAUAGUUGGGGGCAUUAGUAUUCAAUUGUCAGAGGUGAAAUUCUUGGAUUUAUUGAAGACUAACUUCUGCGAAAGCAUUUGCCAAGGAUGUUCUCAUUAAUCAAGAACGAAAGUUAGGGGAUCGAAGACGAUCAGAUACCGUCGUAGUCUUAACCAUAAACUAUGCCGGCUAGGAUCGGACGAUGUUAAUUUUUUAAUGACUCGCUCGGCGCCUU